GGGUGAUACAAGAGAUUCUGUUGGUUGUUCAGAGAUGUUGAGAGAUCAACCAGGAGACUGUGGGAGGAUGUGAGCUCUCUGAGAAGGAGAAGAAGUAUUUACAUUAGAAGUCUGAUUCACAGGUCGGGGCAAAGUGAAAAACAUCUGCACUUUUAAAAGAGAGGUCAAAAGUCCGUCUGACUCACCUGUGCUGAGUGACUUGAAUGCCAUCUAAUCUAACUUCAAGAUCAUCAGGAUACUUGCCAACAAGGUCACAGUGGACUCCAUGGAGCAACUGCCCUCAGGAGGCAACAGGUUCUUUUUGAGGGGAGUCUCUCUGAUGCUUGGAAUGAAUCCUGCUGAAUCAAUGCUGAUGCUUGGAGAUCUUCAAGUCUUUUCCCUUUUUCCCAUUGCUCAUGAUGUCUAUAUAACCUCCAAACAUGCAUCCCACUCCUCUGCCGAAAGACCAUUUUUUUAUAUCUUCAGUGAUGGUCUAGGCCAGGUCACAGUGUUUGGACACCGCAUGAACAUGCCAAUUUCCUGUGUUGUAAUAUUUUUAUGCACUUUAAGAAGACCACCAGAAACAGCAGAAGCUCUGAGUAUAGAUGAGGCAAACUUCACAUGGAAAAGAAGCCAUAUUUUGAAAAAACUACACGGAAUCAAAGAGAACUAACUCAAAGAAGCAAAAUUUUGGAGAUAAAACAAGAGAAGAUGUUCCAGGAUUACUUCAUGCUGUCCAGGUCCUAGACAUGGAAUCGUUUGCUUCUUCAAAAGUCUGGAUCCCUUUAAGAUACGAAAUGUAUUUAGA
rnacentral:lncRNA from 10 species